rnacentral:piRNA from 1 species
UCCAGUAUCGUAAAGGUGGAUGAGUCUUU